CUCCCAAAAUCAAUACCAACCUUCCUUUUGUGGUCAUAAACCUUGUGUUAAAAUUUCAUAGAUUUCCAUUCACUUUUACUAAAGUUAGAGUGCGAAAACUAAAAGUAUUCGGACGCCGGACGACGACGACGACGACGACGACGACGACGACGACGACGACGACGACGCCAACGUGAUAGCAAUAUACGACGAAAAAUUUUUCAAAUUUUGCGGUCGUAUAAAAAGAAU
rnacentral:lncRNA from 1 species